UACGGAGGAUCCAAGCGUUAUCCGGAAUCAUUGGGUUUAAAGGGUCCGUAGGCGGUUUUAUAAGUCAGUGGUGAAAUCCGGUAGCUCAACUAUCGAACUGCCAUUGAUACUGUAGGACUUGAAUUAUUGUGAAGUAACUAGAAUAUGUAGUGUAGCGGUGAAAUGCUUAGAUAUUACAUGGAAUACCAAUUGCGAAGGCAGGUUACUAACAAUAUAUUGACGCUGAUGGACGAAAGCGUGGGGAGCGAACAGGAUUAGAUACCCUGGUAGUCCACGCCGUAAACGAUGGAUACUAGCUGUUUGAGAGCAAUCUUGAGUGGCUAAGCGAAAGUGAUAAGUAUCCCACCUGGGGAGUACGAACGCAAGUUUGAA
rnacentral:rRNA from 1 species